rnacentral:rRNA from 1 species
UACGAAGGGAGCUAGCGUUGUUCGGAAUCACUGGGCGUAAAGCGCACGUAGGCGGAUCUUUAAGUCAGGGGUGAAAUCCCGGAGCUCAACUCCGGAACUGCCUUUGAUACUGAAGACCUUGAGUCCGGGAGAGGUGAGUGGAACUGCGAGUGUAGAGGUGAAAUUCGUAGAUAUUCGCAAGAACACCAGUGGCGAAGGCGGCUCACUGGCCCGGUACUGACGCUGAGGCACGAAAGCGUGGGGAGCAAACAGG